rnacentral:rRNA from 1 species
UACGUAGGGUGCAAGCGUUGUCCGGAAUUAUUGGGCGUAAAGAGCUCGUAGGCGGUCUGUCACGUCGGCUGUGAAAUCCCGAGGCUCAACCUCGGGUCUGCAGUCGAUACGGGCAAACUAGAGUAUUGCAGGGGAGACUGGAAUUCCUGGUGUAGCGGUGAAAUGCGCAGAUAUCAGGAAGAACACCCGUGGCUAAGGCGGCUCUCUAGUACGUGACUGACGCUGAGACGCGAAAGCGUGGGGAGCGAACAGG